CAGAGCCCGACACGGGGCCUGAUCUCACAAACCAUGAGAUCAUGACCUGAGCUGACAUCAAGAGUCUGAUGCUUAACCCGCUGAGCCACCAGGGGCCCCAUAAAUACUUUCAUCUUUUACCUGCCACCAGGUUAAGUAUCUUAAAGUACAGUUUCUACCACCAAACUUUUUUGUUGAAAAGAAAUAAGGUAGAAAAAAACCC